rnacentral:lncRNA from 1 species
CUGAGGUCUUUGCUAUGGCUGACAAGAUUAAGCAUUUUUUUAUUUUUGUUUUUAUUUUUUGCUGAUAACCAUUCCCUUAUGUCACUCUCGGUCCUCACCUUGAUUCGAGUCAGUUUCUGGGGCUCCACUAUGCACAGCUGGGGCUUCCCCCACCAGACCAAGAUUCUCCCUUCCCUGAGACCCUCCAGGCCGAAAUGACAGUCACCUCAACCUGACAGCUCUUCCUGAGCUUCCCAAGUCACAGGAGAGGCUUUUGGUUUUGGACCAUGAGAAUGGCUUACAUAUUCAAAAGGUUGGAUUUGGGAAGCAAUGCUAAGCAGUGGAAUGGACAUCGACAUAGAGAGAUCAGCUCCACACUUAUACUCUGCCACUCAACUUCCCCAUGUGACUUGAGGAUCACUCUAACUCCAAAACAUAGCAAGCUCGCGGAACAUCAGGGUUCAUGCAAAGUAUUCCAAGGAGC